UACGAGGGGGGCGAGCGUUGUUCGGAUUUACUGGGCGUAAAGGGCGCGCAGGCGGUCUUGAAAGUCAGGCGUGAAAGCCCCGGGCUUAACCUGGGAAUUGCGCUUGAUACUCUGAGACUGGAGUACGGGAGAGGAGAGUGGAAUUCCCAGUGUAGAGGUGAAAUUCGUAGAUAUUGGGAAGAACACCAGUGGCGAAGGCGGCUCUCUGGACCGUAACUGACGCUGAGGCGCGAAAGCUAGGGGAGCAAACAGG
rnacentral:rRNA from 1 species